rnacentral:lncRNA from 1 species
AUAACAGAAAUAAAUACUCACCUGUGCGUCCACCGCACCAAUUCAUACAUAUGCAUCAUAUAUUAAUUCAUACCUGUGCGUCCACCGCACCAAUUCAUACAUAUGCAUCAUAUAUUAAUUCAUGCAUGGCAUUUCAACUCACAUUUCUAUAUACUUUUCAUAUCAAUUCUAUGCAUGGUAUUUCACUUCCCGUUUUUCCACAUAACUCAUAUGCAUUUCAUUUUAAACAUAUUUUCAUUUCAAUUCAAUUUCUGGGAAACGUCAAGUAUAUAUAUAUACGGAAAACAAAACUGCCCACUCACCUGGAGUUCGUCCAACAACUCCCUAGCACCACACAUCAAGGCGUCAUGACGAUCGCCGCCUAGAACAGUAAUCAAAUCCAACCUCAGAAUUCAUAUCGAUAGAAUAUAUAACUUAUAUAAAAUACGUCCCUACGUAGAUCGAUCCGGAAGAUCUGCCACUCAGAUUUUAAAUCCAUAACUUCCAGAGGUCCACAAUAUAUCUCUAGGACAACAUCCUAAAAUUUCAUCACCAUCCAACGGUCGGAUC